GACGAACGCUGGCGGCGUGCCUAAUACAUGCAAGUCGAGCGGACGGAUGGGAGCUUGCUCCCAGACCGUCAGCGGCGGACGGGUGAGUAACACGUGGGCAACCUGCCUGUAAGACUGGGAUAACUCCGGAAAACCGGGGCUAAUACCGGAUAACUCUUUCCCUCACAUGAGGGAAAGCUGAAAGAUGGCAUCUCGCUAUCACUUACAGAUGGGCCCGCGGGGCAUUAGCUAGUUGGUGAGGUAACGGCUCACCAAGGCGACGAUGCGUAGCCGACCUGAGAGGGUGAUCGACCACACUGGGACUGAGACACGGCCCAGACUCCUACGGGAGGCAGCAGUAGGGAAUCUUACGCAAUGGACGAAAGUCUGACGGAGCAACGCCGCGUGAGUGAUGAAGGUUUUCGGAUCGUAAAACUCUGUUGUCAGGGAAGAACAAGUACCGGAGUAACUGCCGGUACCGUGACGGUAACUGGCCAGAAAGCCACGGCUAACUACGUG
rnacentral:rRNA from 1 species